UGGGGAAUAUUGCACAAUGGAGGGAACUCUGAUGCAGCGACGCCGCGUGAGUGAUGAAGGAAUUCGUUUCGUAAAACUCUGUUCUAUGGGAAGAAAAGGACUGUACCAUAGGAGAAAGCUCCGGCUAAAUACGUGCCAGCAGCCGCGGUAAUACGUAUGGAGCGAGCGUUGUCCGGAAUUAUUGGGCGUAAAGGGUGCGCAGGCGGCUUUACAAGUUGGAUGUGAAAUAUUGUGGCUCAACCACAAACGUGCAUCCAAAACUGCAAAGCUUGAGUUAAGGAGAGGUAAGUGGAAUUCCUGGUGUAGCGGUGGAAUGCCUAGAUAUCAGGAGGAAUACCGGUGGCGAAGGCGACUUACUGGACUUAAACUGACGCUCAGGCACGAAAGCGUGGGGAGCAAACAGG
rnacentral:rRNA from 1 species